AUUGAACGCUGGCGGCAUGCUUUACACAUGCCAGUCGAACGGUAACAGGCCUUCGGGUGCUGACGAGUGGCGAACGGGUGAGUAAUGCAUCGGAACGUGCCCAGAGGUGGGGGAUAACGCAGCGAAAGCUGUGCUAAUACCGCAUGUGAUCUGAGGAUGAAAGCGGGGGACCAGGCAGCAAUGUUUGGCCUCGCGCCUUUGGAGCGGCCGAUGUCAGAUUAGGUAGUUGGUGGGGUAAAGGCCCACCAAGCCGACGAUCUGUAGCUGGUCUGAGAGGACGACCAGCCACACUGGGACUGAGACACGGCCCAGACUCCUACGGGAGGCAGCAGUGGGGAAUUUUGGACAAUGGGCGCAAGCCUGAUCCAGCAAUGCCGCGUGCGGGAAGAAGGCCUUCGGGUUGUAAACCGCUUUUGUACGGAACGAAAAGGCUCUGGCUAAUACCUGGGGCUGAUGACGGUACCGUAAGAAUAAGCACCGGCUAACUACGUG
rnacentral:rRNA from 1 species